rnacentral:rRNA from 1 species
CCUACGGGAGGCAGCAGUGAGGAAUAUUGGUCAAUGGGCGCGAGCCUGAACCAGCCAAGUAGCGUGAAGGAUGACUGCCCUCCGGUUUGUAAACUUCUUUUUUAAGGGAAUAAAGUAAGGCACGUGUCCCUUUUUGAGUGUACUUUAUGAAAAAGGAUCGGCUAACUCCGUGCCAGCAGCCGCGGUAAUACGGAGGAUCCGAGCGUUAUCCGGAUUUAUUGGGUUUAAAGGGAGCGUAGAUGGGUUGUUAGGUCAGUGGUGAAAGUUUGCGGCUCAACCGUAAAAUUGCCAUUGAUACUGGCAGUCUUGAGUACAGUUGAGGUAGGCGGAAUUCGUGGUGUAGCGGUGAAAUGCUUAGAUAUCACGAAGAACUCCGAUUGCGAAGGCAGCUUACUAAACUGCCACUGACAUUGAUGCUCGAAAGUGUGGGUAUCAAACAGGAUUAGAUACCCCAGUAGUC